AAUCAACGCUGGCGGCGUGCCUCAGACAUGCAAGUCGAACGCGAAAGUUUCCUUCGGGGAACAAGUAGAGUGGCGCACGGGUGAGUAACACGUAGGUAAUCUACCUUUGGAUGGGGAAUAACAACCGGAAACGGUUGCUAAUACCGCAUAAUGCAGCGGCACCUAAUGGUGACAGUUGUUAAAGCGGGGGAUCGAAAGACCUCGCGUCUGAAGAGGAGCCUGCGGCGGAUUAGCUAGUUGGUAAGGUAAUGGCUUACCAAGGCUACGAUCCGUAACCGGCCUGAGAGGGCGGUCGGUCACACUGACACUGACAUACGGGUCAGACUCCUACGGGAGGCAGCAGUCGGGAAUUUUGGGCAAUGGGCGAAAGCCUGACCCAGCAACCGCCGCGUGAAGGAUGAAAUCCCUCGGGAUGUAAACUUCGCAAGAACGGGAAGAAUAAGCGAGAGUUAAUAUCUCUCGUGAUGACGGUACCGUUUGUAAGCUCCGGCUAACUCCGUGCCAGCAGCCG
rnacentral:rRNA from 1 species